CCCUAGCCCCGAUAGAAGUGGAAAUCCUUUUGCGGCCACAGCGCAGCGGAGGUCGUAAAAGAUUGCAACGGAUAGCGGGAAUCAGC
rnacentral:sRNA from 1 species